UAUCCGUAGGUGAACCUGCGGAUGGAUCAUUAACACAAAUCCCCCAAAAAAAAAGAAAGAAAGAAAAGGAGCCAACACGUUUUGGUUUCCCCUUUUCUCUUCUUUUUUUUUUUUUUAAACACCCCACUUUUAAGCGAACUCGUCGACGGGAGGUUUUCUCUGACUCUAUGUGGAUUGAGUCAUUUCAAAAGAGUUAACUUGCCGUUCGUUUUUUUUCUUUUCUUCCUUUAACCACACAAACUUAAAAAACAAAUUUGACUUAAAACAUUUUUUCUUUUUCUUUUCAGACGAAAAAUCUGAAGGGAAAAAACAAAAAACAAAAACUAAACUAAAUGUACAACUUUUAACAACGGAUAUCUUGGCUCUC
rnacentral:misc_RNA from 1 species